rnacentral:rRNA from 1 species
GACGGACGCUGGCGGCGUGCCUAAUACAUGCAAGUCGAGCGAAGUUUUUCUGGUGCUUGCACUAGAAAAACUUAGCGGCGAACGGGUGAGUAACACGUAAAAAACCUGCCUUAUAGACUGGGACAACUAUUGGAAACGAUAGCUAAUACCGGAUAACAGCAUUAACUGCAUGGUUGAUGUUUAAAAGUUGGUUUUGCUAACACUAUGAGAUGGCUUUGCGGUGCAUUAGCUAGUUGGUGGGGUAAAGGCCUACCAAGGCGACGAUGCAUAGCCGACCUGAGAGGGUGAUCGGCCACACUGGGACUGAGACACGGCCCAGACUCCUACGGGAGGCAGCAGUAGGGAAUCUUCCGCAAUGGGCGAAAGCCUGACGGAGCAACGCCGCGUGAGUGAAGAAGGAUUUCGGUUCGUAAAGCUCUGUUGUUAGGGAAGAAUGAUUGUGUAGUAACUAUACACAGUAGAGACGGUACCUAACCAGAAAGCCACGGCUAACUACGUGCCAGCAGCCGCGGUAAUACGUAGGUGGCAAGCGUUGUCCGGAAUUAUUGGGCGUAAAGCGCGCGCAGGUGGUUUAAUAAGUCUGAUGUGAAAGCCCACGGCUCAACCGUGGAGGGUCAUUGGAAACUGUUAAACUUGAGUGCAGGAGAGAAAAGUGGAAUUCCUAGUGUAGCGGUGAAAUGCGUAGAGAUUAGGAGGAACACCAGUGGCGAAGGCGGCUUUUUGGCCUGUAACUGACACUGAGGCGCGAAAGCGUGGGGAGCAAACAGG